rnacentral:ribozyme from 1 species
GUUGCAACUGUGCAUGGAAGAAAAAAAAAAAAAAAAAAAAAAAAAAAAAAAAAAAAAAAAAAAAAAAG